ensembl:lncRNA
UCUGUUUUCUCUGUGAUGUCAGAGUGCAUCCAGGUCCUUACCCAGGCCAAGGGACUAGAGGUUUACUCUUAAUACAGAUAUCUGAGGAAACAUAUCUAUUUUCUCCACUUCUCAAUACAUAGCCCUCUCCAUUGACACUGCACUUUAUCAGAGCAGGCUGAAUACUUUUCUCAGUGAUUUUAUUUUGAGUAGACACUUAGUCCUUUAGCCUUCCUUCCCUUUGGAGAAACAGUUAGAAAACUUGAAACUGGAUUGGCCCAGGCUCCCCAUCCAGCACUGAAAGACCCUGUUUUCUUCUCCUCCUGAAACUUUUACUGCUGGAGAGAAGCUUCCUUUACCCUACUGGCUCCUCUGCAAAUCUAGGAGAGGAGGACCCUUGAAUUGAAGCCUACAAAGAAAAUAAAGAAUUCAGGAAGCAAGAGGACUUUAAGAAGGUUAAUUUAGAGAAAAAACAAUUAAGAAGAAAAAAAGGAAAAAAUCCCCCAGGCAGAAUGAGGGAAAAUCUCCAGCAGACCAAUGGGGAGAAGAAAGAGGACAUUAAAAAAUGGCCAAGUUCAGCUACUUCGAAAAGGCUUUCAUCCCCAUUCUAAUAAGGUGAUGUCACCACGUGCCCCAUACCAGAUUGAAUCACUAAAGGAAGAAGACCCCCAGUCAAAGCCUACACUGAUGCCCCGCGUCAACCACAGUACCAAAAACAAGUUCUUUCCCCAACCUGAGCAAAAGACUGCAGCCACAUCCUCUUCAAGCUUCAAACAUCAGGCCAAAGAUCCAUUAUUACCGCCAACUGAGCAGCGGGGAAUGACGGUGUCAUUACCACAGCUUGACCACCCUACCAUAGUCAAGACAUCAUUUAACAAAUACUCGAGCAAAAACCCAAUUUUACCCGUAAAAUGCCCCGACCACCAGGCCAGUACAACUUCUGUGUCUUUAUUACGUCCCAAACAGAGACGAAAUUUUGGAUGUAAUCCAGAGAAUUGGGCUGAGGCACCAUCUCACCCCAGCAAACUUCCUAAGGUUCCAUUUACUCCAAAUCAUCUAUCUAAGAUCCAACAAGGCUUUCACCACCCACCUGAUUCCCUAUUAUAUCAUAGCCAGCACCUCAGGAAUCCGCCCUAUCCUGAGCAUCAGGGCAAUAUUAAACUCUACACAGACAACAAGAAGAAGACAACACCGAUACCCUCAUUGCGUUCCAAAUUUGAAACUAAGCCCACAAAUGUACAAUUACCAGGUAGUCAGCAAGGUAAAGCUGUUGGCCAAAAGGCUAAGACUUCCUUUCCCCAGGACCACAAUCACCAGCUCAGAGUAACAGUUCAACCAUUAUCAUGCACAGACUGUCACUUCAAGAGCAUAGGCAAGCCACUGUCAAGCACUGAUCAAUGGACAAGGGAUGUCAUUAUUCCAUCACCAUGUCCAGUGCAUGGCUCUGCAACAAUGAUGGUGCUGUGCAGGGACUGCUCCAAUAAUUCAGGAAACAUAAGGGCUGUGCCAACGACCCCCCAGUAUUCCUCAUGUCAGUGGAAUCGAACUUCCUCUACAUUGUCUCUUCCUUCCUCUAUCACUGAAUUGCUCUCACCAAAUGCUCAGGUCAAGGAGAUAUCUACACUUUUGCCAUAUCCUGAAAAAGAAGAUGCCCUUGCUAUAGACCUUGAAUGCCCAAUCGAAGCCAGACAAGACGAUCAUCAAGAGAUCACAGUUUCAUUGUUGGACCCAGACCACUCAGCUUUACUUCAAAUGAGUCCCAACCAAUGGGAUGACCCUGACCAAUGCACUACAAUAGCUCUACACGACCACAGCCUUGGAGCUAAGAGUGCUUUAAGUCAAGAAAACUGUGCUGAAAUCACACAUCAGGUUGAGACUCAAUUGAACCAAGAUUUUAGGACGAAGUCCCCAACUGACUCGAUGUGCCAAGUAGAGAUUACUAUAGAGCCUGAUCAACCAACCUACUCUUUACCAGAUGAAAAAGAAAAAGUAGAAACCGAAAUGGAAAUUGUCCAGGAAGUUGAGCCUCAAAAGAACCCUUGCGAAGAAGUCAAGGAUAAACCAACACCCAAACACUGGGAUGAAAUUGCAGUGGUCCCAGAACACCAAGACCAGGUUUUGUCAGUCCAAGACCAUCAGUUGGAAGUUCCAUCAGACCAUUACCCUGUGACCACAUCUCUAUUUGGCCCUGGGUACCAGACUGAGGCUCAACUAGGUCAUGAUCAUUUGUCUAAAAGUGCUAUGAAAAAACCCCAAGAUUUAUGUCCUCUGAAUAUGCCCCAAAAGGCAGUAGAUACACAAUUCCAGCUGCAGCAGGUCAUGUCUCCUCCAUGUCUGGAAAAUCAGCCUGAGACUUCAUCAAAUCUUAAAAUUCAGACCACAUUUUUACUAGACCCUGAUUUAGAGAACAAACUUCCCAAUUCCUCUGAACUCUUGGCUCCUGCAGACUCUAAGGGCCAGGAUAAACCUGAGCAGUGCCCAGACCGCUGGCCUGAAGUACCAAAAUAUUAUGAGGAUGAGGUUGGCUAUUUCCCUAGAGCCAGAACUAAGCAAAAAAUAGAGUCUUCAUUGUGUUUUAGCUACCUCAAACCAUAUACUAUUGAAGGUGGGACUGUUUCCGAUGAAAUUGUUAACGAGAUCAUCAAUUCUAUAUCAGAGGAGAAAAUUAAAAAUGACAUAAUGUUUCUCAUAGAGCAGACCAAAGAGUGCCCUAUUCCUCAGACAGAUCAUAACCUAUCAUCAAGUUAUAAUGUUUGUUUACAUUGUGCCUCUUGGAUCCCGUAUGGCUGCCCCCAUGUUAAGAGAAUGAAUUAUCAUGGUAGAGCAAAACUGAUGGCCAUACCAAUACCCAUUCCUGGUUCUAAAAGGAAGAUGGAUAUUAAAUUUGUUCUUAAACUUCCUAAACAACAGUAUUCCUCUAUGUUUUGCCUCACUUUACCGCGUCAUGGUACAUCUGUCCCAUCAAACCCGUUGCUUCCUUUUCCAUCACCUCCCUGCUCAGACACUACUCUACUUGAAUCACCCACUGAUCGCUGGAAGGCACCAUGGGACACUCGUUCUGGCUAUAUGUGUGGCACAAAUAACUCUUUAUCUUGGACAAAUCAGCAGUCAUUCCUAGGGAGACUUUCUGGGAGGAGCAAUGCCUCCAAUGAAGAAUCAACAAGUGGAUCUGGGGGAGUAUUUAAAUCUCUGCUAGAGAAAUUUCAAAGAAAGCGAAGGUCCAAUUAAAAAGACCAAAUUCUCUUCCAAAGUAAUUGAUCCCCUUUAUACCUUGAAAAAUGUGUUUGUGUGUCUCACCUAUUAUGCCUUGUAUUCAGACUCUGAGUCUGAUUCUCUAUGAGUUCAGGAAGGAUCACAGAUAGGCAACUGGAAGGGACUGCAGAGUCUAAUCCCCUUUCAUUUUAAGGAUAAGGAAACUGAAGUGAAUUCAAGUGAGGGGAACAGGUGACCAAGGUCCUACAGGUAGUAAGAUAAUAGGUAAGAUUUGAAUACAGUUCCUCUGACUCCAGAGUCAUUGUUCUUUCCACUGAACCUUGCUGCCUACAAUUAAGCUAAGUACUCUCCCAAGCAUGAAAGGAGGGAUCCUAUGAUUUCCCUUCCCUCUUUCAACAUUUUCUUUCCUAGUCCCACAGAUGUAAUGGUAUUUCACAGAAUAGGAAGGGCAUUUUCACUUUUUUUCCUACUUCUACAUCUUAAUUUGCAAAAAUACAAUGUAUAUACCAUGUGUGUGAUUCUCCUUUUUUAUACUCAAUAUUCAAUUCAACUGGCAUUUAUUAAGCACCCACAAUGUGCACGGCACUGGUUAGGAUUUGGGAAUACGACAGAAAUUCAAUAGUUCCUGUCUUCAAGGAUCUUAUGUUCCACUGAAGGGACACAAUAGACACAUGGAAAAAGAGUAGACAGAACAUAGAGAAAAGGGAUGUCAACUUUUUGAGUGCUCAUUAAUAACUGGGGGGAUCUGGGAAAGCUCCUUGUAAAAGCCAGCGAUUGAAUAAAGCCUGAAAUGGACUUCGGGGCUCUAAAAAG